GAUGAAGAACGUAGUGAAAUGCGAUAAGUAAUGUGAAUUGCAGAAUUCAGUGAAUCAUCGAAUCUUUGAACGCACAUUGCGCCCAUUAGUAUUCUAGUGGGCAUGCCUGUUCGAGCGUCAUUAAGUCCACUUAAGCCCUGCUUAGUGCUGGGAGACUGCUCCAGCGGUGCUACCCUGUAGCUACCCUGCAGCUCCUCAAAGACAGCGGCGGAGUUGUGGUAUCCUCUGAGCUUAGUAACUUGUUCUAGCUUUCGAGUACACCACUUCCCCUGCCGUAAAACCCUUAAUUUUUAAUGGUUGACCUCGGAUCAGGUAGGAAUACCCGCUGAACUUAAGCAUAUCAAUAAGCGGAGGA
rnacentral:misc_RNA from 1 species